rnacentral:rRNA from 1 species
GAUGAACGCUGGCGGCGUGCUUAACACAUGCAAGUCGAACGAAGCACUUAAGAUUGAUUCUUCGGAUGACGUCUUUUGUGACUUAGUGGCGGACGGGUGAGUAACGCUUGGGUAACCUGCCUCACACAGGGGGAUAACAGAUAGAAAUGACUGCUAAUACCGCAUAACCCGAUAGGAUCGCAUGAUCCAGACGGAAAAGAUUUAUCGGUGUGAUAUGGACCCGCGUCUGAUUAGCUAGUUGGUGAGGUAACGGCCCACCAAGGCCACGAUCAGUAGCCGGGCUGAGAGGGUGAACGGCCACAUUGAGACUGAGCCACGGUCCAAACUACUACGGGAGGCAGCAGUGGGGAAUAUUGCCAAAUGGGGGAAACCCUGAUGCAGCGACGCCGCGUGAGUGAAGAAGUAUUUCGGUAUGUAAAGCUCUAUCAGCAGGGAAGAAAAUGACGGUACCUGACGAAGAAGCCCCGGCUAACUACGUG